rnacentral:rRNA from 1 species
GUCGACCCCUAAGGCGAGGCCGAAAGGCGUAGUCGAUGGGAAACAGGUUAAUAUUCCUGUACUUGGUGUUACUGCGAAGGGGGGACGGAGAAGGCUAUGUUGGCCGGGCGACGGUUGUCCCGGUUUAAGCGUGUAGGCUGGUUUUCCAGGCAAAUCCGGAAAACCAAGGCUGAGGCGUGAUGACGAGGCACUACGGUGCUGAAGCGACAAAUGCCCUGCUUCCAGGAAAAGCCUCUAAGCAUCAGGUAACAUCAAAUCGUACCCCAAACCGACACAGGUGGUCAGGUAGAGAAUACCAAGGCGCUUGAGAGAACUCGGGUGAAGGAACUAGGCAAAAUGGUGCCGUAACUUCGGGAGAAGGCACGCUGAUAUGUAGGUGAAGCGACUUGCUCGUGGAGCUGAAAUCAGUCGAAGAUACCAGCUGGCUGCAACUGUUUAUUAAAAACACAGCACUGUGCAAACACGAAAGUGGACGUAUACGGUGUGACGCCUGCCCGGUGCCGGAAGGUUAAUUGAUGGGGUUAGCGGCAACGCGAAGCUCUUGAUCGAAGCCCCGGUAAACGGCGGCCGUAACUAUAACGGUCCUAAGGUAGCGAAAUUCCUUGUCGGGUAAGUUCCGACCUGCACGAAUGGCGUAAUGAUGGCCAGGCUGUCUCCACCCGAGACUCAGUGAAAUUGAACUCGCUGUGAAGAUGCAGUGUACCCGCGGCAAGACGGAAAGACCCCGUGAACCUUUACUAUAGCUUGACACUGAACAUUGAGCCUUGAUGUGUAGGAUAGGUGGGAGGCUUUGAAGUGUGGACGCCAGUCUGCAUGGAGCCGACCUUGAAAUACCACCCUUUAAUGUUUGAUGUUCUAACGUUGGCCCGUAAUCCGGGUUGCGGACAGUGUCUGGUGGGUAGUUUGACUGGGGCGGUCUCCUCCUAAAGAGUAACGGAGGAGCACGAAGGUUGGCUAAUCCUGGUCGGACAUCAGGAGGUUAGUGCAAUGGCAUAAGCCAGCUUGACUGCGAGCGUGACGGCGCGAGCAGGUGCGAAAGCAGGUCAUAGUGAUCCGGUGGUUCUGAAUGGAAGGGCCAUCGCUCAACGGAUAAAAGGUACUCCGGGGAUAACAGGCUGAUACCGCCCAAGAGUUCAUAUCGACGGCGGUGUUUGGCACCUCGAUGUCGGCUCAUCACAUCCUGGGGCUGAAGUAGGUCCCAAGGGUAUGGCUGUUCGCCAUUUAAAGUGGUACGCGAGCUGGGUUUAGAACGUCGUGAGACAGUUCGGUCCCUAUCUGCCGUGGGCGCUGGAGAACUGAGGGGGGCUGCUCCUAGUACGAGAGGACCGGAGUGGACGCAUCACUGGUGUUCGGGUUGUCAUGCCAAUGGCACUGCCCGGUAGCUAAAUGCGGAAGAGAUAAGUGCUGAAAGCAUCUAAGCACGAAACUUGCCCCGAGAUGAGUUCUCCCUGACUCCUUGAGGGUCCUGAAGGAACGUUGAAGACGACGACGUUGAUAGGCCGGGUGUGUAAGCGCAGCGAUGCGUUGAGCUAACCGGUACUAAUGAACCGUGAGGCUUAACCUU